GGAGGGCUCCCCGUACCACACCGGGCAGCUGCACCCCGCGGUGCGCGUGGCCGACCUCCUGCAGCACAUCAACCAGAUGAAGACCGCCGAGGGCUAUGGCUUCAAGCAGGAGUACGAGAGCUUCUUUGAAGGCAGGGAUGCCACAAAGAAGAAAGAAAAGCUUAACAGUGGCCGGCAGGAGCCAGUGCCUGCCUAUGACCGGCACCGUGUGAAGCUGCACCCGAUGCUGGGAGACCCGGAUGCUGACUCCAUUUCUGCCAACUACAUAGACAUUCGGAUAAACCGUGAAG